UGGGGGGAUUAGUGGCGAACGGGUGAGUAACACGUGAGUAACCUGCCCUUGACUCUGGGAUAAGCCUGGGAAACUGGGUCUAAUACCGGAUAUGACUCCUCAUCGCAUGGUGGGGGGUGGAAAGCUUUUGUGGUUUUGGAUGGACUCGCGGCCUAUCAGCUUGUUGGUGAGGUAAUGGCUUACCAAGGCGACGACGGGUAGCCGGCCUGAGAGGGUGACCGGCCACACUGGGACUGAGACACGGCCCAGACUCCUACGGGAGGCAGCAGUGGGGAAUAUUGCACAAUGGGCGCAAGCCUGAUGCAGCGACGCCGCGUGAGGGAUGACGGCCUUCGGGUUGUAAACCUCUUUCAGUAGGGAAGAAGCGUAAGUGACGGUACCUGCAGAAGAAGCGCCGGCUAACUACGUGCCAGCAGCCGCGGUAAUACGUAGGGCGCAAGCGUUAUCCGGAAUUAUUGGGCGUAAAGAGCUCGUAGGCGGUUUGUCGCGUCUGCCGUGAAAGUCCGGGGCUCAACUCCGGAUCUGCGGUGGGUACGGGCAGACUAGAGUGAUGUAGGGGAGACUGGAAUUCCUGGUGUAGCGGUGAAA
rnacentral:rRNA from 1 species